CCUCGCGAUGUUUUGAGCCGAAACACUCGCUAGUAGGGAUCUUGUCCAGUAGAUAGCGAUCAGGAGAGUAGGCAUGCUGAAGCAGUUCAUGCAUGGAGGAACCUGUCUGUUGCUACUCUGCGUUUAUUCAAUGUUGAAUUAUGAACGAUUGCGCCUUUAAAUAAUAACCUCCAUAAAGGCAAUUAUUGGUAAGCAUCACUGAAUCCAGGGACAGAGAGAGAAAGGCACAUAACAGAAAGCAACCGGCGGGUCUGGCUCUCUGUGUCGGUGUGUGUGGGAAUGGCAGCUCCCCGACCGAUUAAAGGCAUCCUGAAAAACAAGAACAGCGGCAGAAACCUGAAAUCCGUGUCCGACGAGGCGCCGGCGGAGGUGACCGAGCAUGGCCCUGGACUCUCGGAGGAUGACCACCAAAAAAAAUCUGCCAAAUGGGAUGAGAUGAACAUCCUGGCGACAUAUCAUCCUCCUGACAAGGACUACGGCCUGAUGAAGAUAGAUGAACCCAGCACACCUUAUAACAGGAUGGUUGGGGACGACGAUGAUGAGGGGGCUCUCAGUGACUCAGAAGGCCAGAGCGGUGGGCUCGCGCCUGAUGACCUGGCCUCAAAGCUGGAGGCAGCUGAGGGGGCGGAGCCACGCUUCAUGAAGGAAACGGAAGAGAGCAGCGAGGAGGAAGAAGACGAGCUGACUCCACAAGUGCAAGCCAAAAAGAAGCAUUUUCAGAUGAUGAGGAAGAUGCACUAUGAUGAGGGCAUGAACAUAAGGCUGGCUCGCGAGCUCAUUGCUAAAGAGCUGGAAGAUGAUGACGACGAUGAAGAGAUGAGGGAUGACACAGAGGAUCCAAGAGACAACUCAGAGGAGACAGAGGAGAUCAGUGUAGACCCGCCACAAGAAGGGGUGGCGAACCGCUUGCUGCGGCUCUUUGACGGAUCCUGUGUGGCUCUUUGAUUCUGAAAUUUCCCACACCCCUUGAAGGCAGAAGCAGCGUAAAGUUCAGCUCAGCUGACUCCAUAGAGUCGUAGAUGACUUCUCCCAUCGGCAGCGCCAUGGCAGAUCAGGAUCCAGCGAGAUCCGCCCAUCGGAUCUGUGACUGAAAGCAGAGACGUUAAGGCAAACACCGCUUCACCACCUGUCCAACAUCCCCCAGCAGCCAAUAAGAUUACCGGUCACCUCUUUGUCUCCACUAUUCUCAUAAAACUGUGCAAUAUAACCUCUAUUCUUAAUUUUAAAAAUGGUUUUCAGCUUCAGGAAUAUGUCCGAAACACACACACACACACACACACACACACACACACACACACACACACACACACACACACGCACGAAGGCUGUUGUUUGUCCCUCUCCUGUUGCCAAGAAUGCCCUCCUCUCACCUGUCCUGGACCGAUGUCGCACUGAAGAAUCUAUGACUCAGACACUGAAAGGAGGAUCAAAGUCUUUUUAGAAAUAAGAAGAAAAAAAAUUGCAAGAAAAACCUCACAACGUUGAGCUUAUUAUGGCUGAAACAGCUUGUUGGUUGUGGAAGAAGCCAGGGGGAAACCCCACGGCCUCUCUGAAGGGUUUUAUGUCACAUGAUGGAGUUUCCAGUGGCUGCAACUCAGAUUUCUUUCCCGUUUUCUUUUUUUGAUCAAUCACACCGCUGCAUUUUAUGUCUCUAGGAAUAGUUAAGCUGCUAAUAUAACAAGGCUUCUCCACAUACAAUAUUGACAUGACAUGAUUACCGGGGUUUGGGGAAUAUUAGUCCAAAUUGUGUUAUUAAAAUAGGAGGUAUUUUUCAAGGAAGAACAUUUGACUCAUUCUUGAUUGUCCCACUUGGAUGCUCAUUUUCAGUUUCUCAUUUCCAGUUUACAAGCAUUUCUAAGUGUCACCAGACAUCUUGAGGUACAUUUUUCAUUCACUGGAAUCCUUUUUUAUCCCUUCAAGGUAAGUUUGUUCAAGAAUAAGACAGGACAAGCUGCUCGGUCGUCCAUGUUUUUCUUUCUCUGUGUAAAAUCUACAGUAUUUUUGAUUGUAAAGUUGGCGAGAAGAGACUGUAUGGAAGUGCUGCUGCUGAACUUUGGUAUGUGCUACUGAUAGACCUGACGAAUAGGUAUUAGAUGAACAGUCUGAGCUGUGCCAAGUUAUUUGAAGGAAAGUCAGAACAUUGUUGCUUAAUGUUUUUUUUUUUUUUUUUUUUUCUUCACUUGGCUUAAUCCACGGUUUCAGUUUAAGGCUAUAAUGUUUGAUCUGCUUGCAUGACUCAGCUCAGGAUCAUCAUAGGGGCAGGGGGAAAUAUUUGUAAUGCUACUGACUGAGGUCGGAGGACGUUGGAGACAGAUUAAACCACUACAGCUCAUUGGAGGUGCGUUGAGGACUUGAGUUCUCUUUCAAGGUUCAGCCAUGUGUCACUGCGUAGUCUUAAAAGGAAAAAGAAAGCCAGUCACUCUCGUGUCGACUGUAGGACUUGGCUGCAUACGCUGGGAACUCAGUUAAGUAUGGAGUAGAAAAAGCAUGCAGGGAAUCAUGAGCAUGUCUUAUGUUAUCUCUUUAUUUUCCCCGUUGCCCUUUAACGCCCCACUGUGACCGGACACGUAGAGCUUUAUGUUGCGGAAAUACUGCAGGUCACAGCAGUUGGUAUGACUCCUGCCAAAGUCUCUGUGCAUUUUUUUCCCCAUGUUUAGAAGCAAACCAACAAAUAUAGAGUUUGGCAAAUGGAAUGAGUACCUGAGCAAAAAAUAAAAAACAGAUUCUUGACAAUGCAGCUGUUUUAAUUUGUAAACUUGUGAAAAAAGUGUGACUCUAGAGAAGCAGAGAUUAUUCUUUUUCUCAUUUUAGACAAAACACAAUGGACAUGGAUCAUCCUGUAGGCGGUUGUGACCUGACAAAUGUGCCUCUAAUGACUUAAUAUACUUGUGUGUUUAGUGAACAAGCUCCGUGAUACUUUUUGCCUCUUUUUUUUCUGUUUUUGUUUUGCAUUACACCUGCCCUGUUGUGUUUUCUAAGGUGGGUAGAUGUUUAUGCAGUCCUCUGAUCUAGAGAUGCGCAGAUCGGAUAUUUUCUGGCAAGUUUCCAGUUGUUUUUUUUUGUUUGUUUGUUUUUUUUUUAGAUCUGACUUGCUGAUUCUGAUUAUUUUUCCCAGGGAUUAUAUUGAAAAUUAUGGAAAAACUGUUCUGCAAGUUGUUUGACAAAGUUUUUGAUAAUUAAAAAAAUUACAAGACUAUUCCCAUUUACAUUUGCUAUACGUCAAAGCAAAUGUCUCAAACCUUUAUCUGAUUUUUUUUAUAAAUCAGACGCUUCAAAGUACUUGAUAUUAGUAGAUGCAUUUAUGGACCUAAAAUGGUGGGACUUAGUUAUGGUGCAUUUAAUAAUUUGAAAAUUUAAAAAAAGAAAACAAAAUUGAUUAAUUGGUUAUUGGUGUUUCUCUGCUUAAGACCGUCAUAUGUCUCAAAAAUGUUUUCUUAUAAUUUCCUGUCUGCAUGUUCUUACUCAUCAAGUUGUGCAUAUUGUUUUGUUUUUUCCCCGUCAUUAAACAAACAUUGUUAGAA